CUAAGCGAAAGGGAAAAGUUUUACCUCGUUUGGAGGCCAGAAAGUGCUCUGGUGUGGCGGCGGUCAGUUCCUCCUGUGGCUGGGCUGUCUUCUCCGGCGAGGGCUCUGGCGGCUAGGGUUUGGGGUUGGGUGUAGAUGAGAUUAUUUAUAACCUUUCCCUUUUAAUCUGAGCCGUCCAUCACGAUUUAAUCUGGACCGUCCGAUUGCGAUUAAAGUGGAAAUGAAUCUAGACUGUCCAUCGCGAUGCGAUCUGGGCCGUCCGCACGCGCGUUUGAUCUAGACCGUCCGUCUGAUCACCCGAACACGAAUCGCCCACGUGGCCUCCCGCAUCAUCGUCUCUGCCACGCAGCGUAUCCUAGUUGGUCGAGGCUGCUGACCGGGUUGCUGACGUGGCUGCUGACAUGGUGUAAUCCAAAUUUUCACCCCUUUUUUCCAAAAUUGUAU
rnacentral:lncRNA from 1 species